ensembl:lncRNA
AUAAUAAUAAUAAUAAUAAAAAAAAAAAGUAUUAUAAAAAGAGUAACACAAGUAAAAAAAAGUAUGAUUAAUGAAAAAAAAUAUGGAAUAAAUGAUCAAAAAGAAACUGAAAUAAAAAUGUUCCAUACGAAUGAAUUAAAUGAUAGUAACUGUAGUAAUGAUUAUUUAAAUAUAGCUUUAGGAGAAAAUAAAAAUAUAAAUAAUAUUGACAUGGGUAAUAUUGACAUGGGUAAUAUUAACAUGGGUAAUAUGAAUGUGGAAAGUAUAAAUAUGGAAAGUAUGAAUAUGGACAAUUUUAAUAUGAGUCAUACUAAUACAAAUAUUUUAAACCAAUCAGAUGGAGGAGUAGAAAGAUUAACCAUAUUAAACAAUUUAAACGAUUUGAAUGAUAGUGGUGAAAACCAUGAUAUAAAAAAUUAUAAAAAUGGUACCAGGUUUAGUGAAGGACAUGUAUUAAAAAAAUAUAACUCUUUAUCUAAAUAUAAAAGUGAUAAAAAAAUAAGAUAUAAACCUACAAAUAAUUAUAAAGAUUCGAGAGAAGAAAGUUAUUAUGAUAAAAAUGUUUAUGAUACUGUUAAUGAUGAUUAUUAUAAUGAAAGAUAUGGUAAAAAUGGACUUUAUGAGAAGGAAGAACAAUAUUAUCAACGAUAUGCUGUCCGUUACGAUGAUAAUUAUGACGAUAAUUAUGAUGAUAAAUAUGACGAUAAUUAUGACCAUAAUUAUGAUAAAAAUUAUGACGAUAAUUAUGAUAAAAAUUAUGACCAUAAUUAUGAUAAAAAUUAUGACCAUAAUUAUGAUAAAUGGCAAGGUAAUAUGACAUAUGAAAAUUAUGAGAAAAAUAAAAAUCGUAAAUUAUAUGAUGUAAAUGCAAAUAUACAAGAACAUAGAGAUUCUUAUCAUGAUGAAGGACAUUAUAGAAGAGUUGGUCGUUUAAAAAAUCAUAAUCUUGUUGAUACAAGUAAAUAUAUAGAUGAAUAUACAUAUGAUGAAAAUAUAAAUGAUUAUACAUUAUAUCCAAAUAAAAAUAAAAUAAAUUAUUUUGAUAAUAAUAAAGUACAUAAUCCUGAUAAUGUUUGUGAAAAUCCUUAUGAACAUUCAGAAUAUAAUUAUAAUGAUCGUGAUAAAAAUAUUAUGUAUAAACAUAACAGUAAUAAUAUUAAUAAUAAUACACUGUAUGUUCGAAAUAAAAACGAAAAUGAUAAUAAUUAUCCUUCAGGUAUAACAAGAAAAAGUGAAAAACUAAAUGAACAUAUGUAUAUGCACGGUGCAGGUAAAAUAAGAUCAAACAUGAGAAAAACGUCAAGUACUAAUCAACUCGAUUAUUAUAAUAAUAAUUAUGAACCUAUAGAUUCUAUCGAUAAUAUAAAUAACAUGAAUAAUAUGAAUAAUAAUUAUGACCAUAUGAGUUAUGGAUAUAAUAAUAUGAACAAUCAUGACAAUAAUAUGAAUACAUAUGAAAAUGAUAUUUAUUACGAUGAUCGAUAUAAUAAGAACAAAAUACAUGGAACUAGUACAAACGUAAAUAAACAAUACAGUUUGAAUAAACCAUAUGUUAAUACAGAAAGGGGACUGGAACCUAUAGAGGGAAAUGAUAGAAUGUACAGAGAUAGUUACAAAAACAAUAAUAUUAAUAACAAUAAUAAUGCAUAUUAUGAGUGUGAUAAUAAACCACAAGGGUAUGAUAACUUAACUGAAGAAAAAAGAGAAGAAAUAAAAAAUAUAACAGAUGUGAAUAAUACAGUUCAUAUAAAUGCACAACAACAACAACAACAACAGCAACAACAACAGCAACAACAACAACAACAACAACAACAACAGCAACAACAACAACAAACGAGUGAUAUUUUCAAAGAUAAUGUCGUAACAACAGGUGAUAGUAGUACUACUACAUUCGUAUCUGGAACGAACGAAUUGAAUGUGAUGAGUGAUGUUACUAAAGUUGACGUGGGACAAUCACAGAUACCGACUAUUCCAGUACCAACCGUUCCAAUGCCAACCACUGCAGUACCA